GUCAUGCUCGCGUGGUGGUUCCUUUGGCUCAAGAGGAAUGCAAGAGUCUUCCAGAAUUGCCGCAGAAGCCUCGCCCAAUUGAGUGAUGCCGCCUUUGAUGAGCUCUUAGCCUCGAAGAGGGCCGGAUGUAAGGUUGCUUUGGGUUUAGGAUGAUUGAUCGUUGUUGGUUCCAGACCGUUAGGCCUCCAGAGUAGCUUAUGUUUUUUUUUUCCUGUUAGGCGUUGUACAUAUUUCUCCUCUCUCUUGUAAGCUACCUGGCCUCUUGGCUUGUCCUUUUCAUCCUUAAGCAAUGUGUUUCAUAAAAAAAAUAGAGCAUAUAAUAUGUGUCUUUUUAGUUAAAAGUCAAAAGCAUAAGUGAGUAAAGGUCAUUGCACGCAUAUGUUACCGUAUUCCGAUGAGGUUGCACUUCUUGACUAUUGUUGACCGGCCGCGUAGGUUGCCUGCCAGUGUGGGACAUGAGUUGGG
rnacentral:lncRNA from 1 species